rnacentral:rRNA from 1 species
GGAUGAACGCUGGCGGCGUGNUUAACACAUGCAAGUCGAACGGUGAACACGGAGCUUGCUUUGUGGGAUCAGUGGCGAACGGGUGAGUAACACGUGAGCAACCUGCCCCUGACUCUGGGAUAAGCGCUGGAAACGGCGUCUAAUACUGGAUACGAGUAGCGGCCGCAUGGUCAGUUACUGGAAAGAUUUAUUGGUUGGGGAUGGGCUCGCGGCCUAUCAGCUUGUUGGUGAGGUAAUGGCUCACCAAGGCGUCGACGGGUAGCCGGCCUGAGAGGGUGACCGGCCACACUGGGACUGAGACACGGCCCAGACUCCUACGGGAGGCAGCAGUGGGGAAUAUUGCACAAUGGGCGGAAGCCUGAUGCAGCAACGCCGCGUGAGGGAUGACGGCCUUCGGGUUGUAAACCUCUUUUAGCAGGGAAGAAGCGAAAGUGACGG